UGGGCCAUUCUGUUGAUUUUGUUCGUCAGUCAUUUCGAGUGGUUGGUGAGGUACAAGGUUUACUGUGUUUCUCCUUUCUCUGAGUUCGCGAGAUAUGUGGUCGAUGUUAUCGUUGAAAAGGAGGUUCUGGUUGCCUCUUGAUCGAGUAUGCGUACAGCAGAGGUGUACCUGGAUCUAGAAGACAACAAGAAAAACACACAGUUAGUAACUGAAAUAAAAAUUGAAAAAGAACUUGAUCUAAGAAAGUCUAAAAUCUUAAAUAUAACAAACAAACACCCAAUCAGCAACGACGCCAAAUUGAUAAUAGUU
rnacentral:sRNA from 1 species